rnacentral:piRNA from 1 species
GGAAAAGCUAGGUGCAAAUGCUUCAUU